ensembl:lncRNA
GGAAGAAGAGACAAGCCCGGUCUUGCUGCUGAUGGUAGGAUCAAAGAAUUGAGAGUCUGCGCAGGUUGGAGAUGAAGUUCUGCACUUCAGUUGUUAAGAAAUAUGAAUGAAGAGAAGGGAGAGGAAGCAGCAAGGGAACCUAAGAUGAGUAGGUGGAUUCUUUACCAGCUGAGCUACCCGGGAAGCCUCCAAAAUUUGAGUUAUUAAAAAAUAUUAUUGGAACGUCACUUAGACCCACGCAGGAUCAGAAUGGAAGUGUGGACUUCCAGGGGAGUGGAUGAAGCGGACCAGGAAUCUGCAUUUUUCAGAGUCUCUCCAGCCAUAAAUGAGAACUGAUCACUUCACCCAGAGUGGGUCUGCAGAGCAUCAGGGAAGACUUCCAGAAGGAGGCAAUACACAAG